GGCGAGUAUAUCUUAGUAGGUUAAAGAACUAGAUUGUGAUUCUAGGAAUCAUGAGUUCAAAUCUCAUUACUCGCC
rnacentral:tRNA from 1 species